rnacentral:rRNA from 1 species
AAUAGAUACCCCCGGUAGUCCACGCCGUAAACGAUGAGUGCUAAGUGUUAGGGGGUUUCCGCCCCUUAGUGCUGCAGCUAACGCAUUAAGCACUCCGCCUGGGGAGUACGGUCGCAAGACUGAAACUCAAAGGAAUUGACGGGGGCCCGCACAAGCGGUGGAGCAUGUGGUUUAAUUCGAAGCAACGCGAAGAACCUUACCAGGUCUUGACAUCCCACUGACCGCUAUGGAGACAUAGUUUUCCCUUCGGGGACAGUGGUGACAGGUGGUGCAUGGUUGUCGUCAGCUCGUGUCGUGAGAUGUUGGGUUAAGUCCCGCAACGAGCGCAACCCUUGAUCUUAGUUGCCAUCAUUUAGUUGGGCACUCUAAGGUGACUGCCGGUGACAAACCGGAGGAAGGUGGGGAUGACGUCAAAUCAUCAUGCCCCUUAUGACCUGGGCCACACACGUGCUACAAUGGACGGUACAAACGGUUGCCAACCCGCGAGGGGGAGCUAAUCCGAUAAAACCGUUCUCAGUUCGGAUUGUAGGCUGCAACUCGCCUAC